AAGCAGACUUGAAAUUGGCGAGGUUUGAAUGUAUUUGACUUCGUCACAUGGCAGCUCGCAUAUCUGUCAAGUUAGAAACGUAAACAAACACGGACAACCGCCCGUAAAGAUUGUGUGCAGAAUAAUCGUGAAAUUUUAUGUGAAAACUCGAGAAAAGGAAAAACAUAAUUUCAUCCCGAAAUUUGGCAACAUUCGUCCGAGUAUGGUUGAGCAGCUGUGUGUGUGUGUAUGCCGACGGAAUACGACGCCGUUUCUAUAACAAUCACUAAAGCCGACUGUGAUCGUGAUCGGCACAUUCUCAACUGGACCAACACACCGGUCGUUGUGUAUCUUCAAGCAAACCAACGUAGCCAUGCACC